rnacentral:rRNA from 1 species
AACGCUAGCUACAGGCUUAACACAUGCAAGUCGAGGGGCAGCAUGGUCUUAGCUUGCUAAGGCCGAUGGCGACCGGCGCACGGGUGAGUAACACGUAUCCAACCUGCCGUCUACUCUUGGACAGCCUUCUGAAAGGAAGAUUAAUACAAGAUGGCAUCAUGAGUCCGCAUGUUCACAUGAUUAAAGGUAUUCCGGUAGACGAUGGGGAUGCGUUCCAUUAGAUAGUAGGCGGGGUAACGGCCCACCUAGUCUUCGAUGGAUAGGGGUUCUGAGAGGAAGGUCCCCCACAUUGGAACUGAGACACGGUCCAAACUCCUACGGGAGGCAGCAGUGAGGAAUAUUGGUCAAUGGGCGAGAGCCUGAACCAGCCAAGUAGCGUGAAGGAUGACUGCCCUAUGGGUUGUAAACUUCUUUUAUAAAGGAAUAAAGUCGGGUAUGCAUACCCGUUUGCAUGUACUUUAUGAAUAAGGAUCGGCUAACUCCGUGCCAGCAGCCGCGGUAAUACGGAGGAUCCGAGCGUUAUCCGGAUUUAUUGGGUUUAAAGGGAGCGUAGAUGGAUGUUUAAGUCAGUUGUGAAAGUUUGCGGCUCAACCGUAAAAUUGCAGUUGAUACUGGAUAUCUUGAGUGCAGUUGAGGCAGGCGGAAUUCGUGGUGUAGCGGUGAAAUGCUUAGAUAUCACGAAGAACUCCGAUUGCGAAGGCAGCCUGCUAAGCUGCAACUGACAUUGAGGCUCGAAAGUGUGGGUAUCAAACAGAAUUAGAUACCCUGGUAGUCCACACGGUAAACGAUGAAUACUCGCUGUUUGCGAUAUACAGCAAGCGGCCAAGCGAAAGCGUUAAGUAUUCCACCUGGGGAGUACGCCGGCAACGGUGAAACUCAAAGGAAUUGACGGGGGCCCGCACAAGCGGAGGAACAUGUGGUUUAAUUCGAUGAUACGCGAGGAACCUUACCCGGGCUUAAAUUGCAGAUGAAUUACGGUGAAAGCCGUAAGCCGCAAGGCAUCUGUGAAGGUGCUGCAUGGUUGUCGUCAGCUCGUGCCGUGAGGUGUCGGCUUAAGUGCCAUAACGAGCGCAACCCUUGUUGUCAGUUACUAACAGGUUCCGCUGAGGACUCUGACAAGACUGCCAUCGUAAGAUGUGAGGAAGGUGGGGAUGACGUCAAAUCAGCACGGCCCUUACGUCCGGGGCUACACACGUGUUACAAUGGGGGGUACAGAGGGCCGCUACCACGCGAGUGGAUGCCAAUCCCCAAAACCUCUCUCAGUUCGGACUGGAGUCUGCAACCCGACUCCACGAAGCUGGAUUCGCUAGUAAUCGCGCAUCAGCCCCGGCGCGGUGAAUACGUUCCCGGGCCUUGUNC